UACGUAGGGGCAAGCGUUGUCCGGAAUCAUUGGGCGUAAAGAGCGUGUAGGCGGCCCGGUAAGUCCGCUGUGAAAGUCCAGGGCUCAACCCUGGGAUGCCGGUGGAUACUGUCGGGCUAGAGUCCGGAAGAGGAGUGUGGAAUUCCUGGUGUAGCGGUGAAAUGCGCAGAUAUCAGGAGGAACACCAAUGGCGAAGGCAGCACUCUGGGACGUGACUGACGCUGAGACGCGAAAGCGUGGGGAGCAAACAGG
rnacentral:rRNA from 1 species